rnacentral:misc_RNA from 1 species
GAUAUGCGAUAAGUGAUGUGAAUUGCAGAAUUCAGUGAAUCAUCAAAUCUUUGCACGCACCUUGCGCUCCUUGGUAUUCCGAGGAGCAUGCCUGUUUGAGUGUCAUGAAACCCUCAAACCCAAGUUUUGGAUUUCGGUACAUGCUUGAGUUUGGAUUUGGAUGUUUGCCGGUGAUGAAGCGACUCAUCUUAAAAGUAUUAGCUUGGAUCUGUCUAUAUGACUGGUUUGACUUGGCAUAAUACGUAUUUUGCUGAGGACAUCUUCGGAUCGCCAGGACCUAGACUACUGUCUGCUAACUAAACCAUCACUUUGAGUGCAUCUUUGGAUGUUACUCAUUGUGUAACUUUGACAUCUGGCCUCAAAUCAAGUAGGACUACCCGCUGAACUCAA